rnacentral:piRNA from 1 species
UAACAGGUCUGUCCAGCGUCAUUACCUAC